rnacentral:lncRNA from 1 species
CUUUAAAUUAAUAAGAUCACUCAAAUAAAUAGGUUCAGUUCAAAUCUCGGUCAUGACCGUUCCAUAUCUCCUGAGUGUUCUUGGCCUAGCAUUCCAGGAACUAGCCAUUCCUAGGUCACGUUGACAUGGAGGGUUGGCUCCUCUCCUUGUGAGACGUGAUGUUAUUAAAAAACAAAAUACCAAGCCUCAGGCGGAUGGGAGCGUGGCUAAGGUCAGAUGUGUAUUGGACAAACCACGAAUAGCACAAGCAUCAAAAAGGGCUUCUUGGCCCCAAGCCUUCUUUGUUUAGAACAAUAUAAAAACACUGCGUCCUGUAAGCCCGCUGAGCCUCACCCGCGGGAAGGACGCUUUGCCCGGGAAAAUCUUUACACAAUUCAAGUUUGUACUGGCUGCAACGGGGCUCCCAGCCGUUGAUUGACUUUGGAGGUUCCCUUGAAUUGGUGAUGUAUUCUCUUCCAUUACCGACUCUCUUGAUCGGUGCUAUAUUAUUGAUUGUUCUUAUUAUUUAUGCUUUCUAUGCAAAUUCAAACUAUCUGUGCUUUACUUCUUCUAAAUAAAUUAUCUAUUUCCUAUUAUUUUCUGGUGCAUUGGAGAGUGUCAUUUAUAGGAGCGAAUCCGAACCUCACUAAAUCCUAUUAAUACACCUGGGAACUCUGGAAUUUGGCUACAAUAUUCCUAGGAGUUUUCCUUUGUGGAUCUCUUUCAGGAGGAGUUUGGUGGCUUCUUUCCAUUUCUAAGGAGGAGGCCCUAAAGAUGUUCUCCAGUGACUUCAGUGUGGAGCCUGAGCUGAUGCACAAAACGCCAUCUCAGAGGGACCGCUGGAGGAAGAAACAGUUUUCCUCCAUGCAGGAUGAGAACAAGCACCCAACCAGGAAAAGGUUGUCCCGCCGUGAGAAACUAAGGAGCCGUCGACACAACCACCAGCUACUUCGGAGUAAAGAUAAGCCGGAGAAGUUGGUUCUGGUGGCAGCUGACAAUAGCUCCGUCCCUCGUGGUACUUGAACCCAAGCAGGAGCAGCCUCCUCGCCCCCUGAAUCACCCACGGUGCUCCCCAAAAUGCCUGUGAACCUGGCAGCAGUGGAUGGGCUUGUGCCCAUUAUAUAGAUCAGCGUCAGCAAGAAGCAGAGUGCUGAAAAUUACCUGGUGGCAAAUAAGACCAAGACAGCUGUCCUCAGCU